rnacentral:misc_RNA from 1 species
GUGGUCGGUUGCUUCUUUCUGAAUCAACUUUACAAAGAUAUUAGCGUUUAUCUGCUGCACAUGCUUCUUAAUUGUUUUAUUAUCAUUUUUCCUCAUUUCUUUUUCUUGACCCUUGGCCUUCGAGAAUUGUCAUAUUUAAAUGGCGCUUCUUUCUCUCAUGUUCAAGGAGAAUUGGGCACAUGCAUUUCCUCACCAAAUAUCUUUAGCCUUU